UGGGUGGACAUUUGAGUUAAAAGUGAGGUUGCUUGCAAGUUGUGUAUUGUUAUUUUAACUAUUGAGUUGGUGUGUACUAAUGACAUGUGGCCAAGAAGAUUGUGGACAUUUUAAGGCCUUUGUUUUGUCUCUGGACACCCCCCACAUUCAUACCUUCUGCACUCCUCCACUGGAAGGUCUACAGGAACAGAAUUGCAUGGAGACGAUACUGUAACGUCUGCUUCCAACUCACUCUGUCAAACACGUAGAUCCCCUGAACACAGCUCACUUUCCAGCUCACACUGUCAAACACAUAGAUCCCCUGAAUGCAGCUCACUCUCCAGAUCCCAAUCCCCUGAAUUCUGAUCACCUGUUCACACACCUGUAUGUCAUCACACACUAUUUAGUUCAGUUCUUUGCACCCUUUUAUUGUGAGGUAUUGUUUGUUUUGUGAGCUCUGUUUUUCACGUAAUUUAAUCCUCCUGUGUAUGAUAGUUUUGGCCUGCCUCACUAACGAAGCCUAUUCCCUGCCUGUACUUUACUUUAGCCUAUCGGAUUAAUGUUAUCAACC
ensembl:lncRNA